rnacentral:rRNA from 1 species
GAUGAACGCUGGCGGCGUGCCUAAUACAUGCAAGUCGAGCGAACGGACGAGAAGCUUGCUUCUCUGAUGUUAGCGGCGGACGGGUGAGUAACACGUGGAUAACCUACCUAUAAGACUGGGAUAACUUCGGGAAACCGGAGCUAAUACCGGAUAAUAUUUUGAACCGCAUGGUUCAAAAGUGAAAGACGGUCUUGCUGUCACUUAUAGAUGGAUCCGCGCUGCAUUAGCUAGUUGGUAAGGUAACGGCUUACCAAGGCAACGAUGCAUAGCCGACCUGAGAGGGUGAUCGGCCACACUGGAACUGAGACACGGUCCAGAAUCCUACGGGAGGCAGCAGUAGGGAAUCUUCCGCAAUGGGCGAAAGCCUGACGGAGCAACGCCGCGUGAGUGAUGAAGGUCUUCGGAUCGUAAAACUCUGUUAUUAGGGAAGAACAUAUGUGUAAGUAACUGUGCACAUCUUGACGGUACCUAAUCAGAAAGCCGCGGCUAACUACGUG